rnacentral:lncRNA from 1 species
CAACUCUCAUCCCCGCUAGCCCUCAGGCCGCCUGCCCCUUUCCGCACCUCCUUUUCCCAUCCAGCGAGAGAAACCUAGCUCCCAGAGCCGGUGCAGUCAGUCCCCUCGCCCCUCCCGCCCCUGCGCGGGUCCCCCUCCAGCCGUCGCUGCAACCACCACCUCGGUUCCACUCAAUCGAUUUUUGCUGCAUGUCAACACUUAUUACCG